UGAGCUCCUAAUUUCCUUGCAAUGGUCCCAAGGCUUCUCCCAAAGGUCAAAUGCUCUCGAGAAUCCAGUGCUCAUUUGUCCGCCCACAUGCUCCCAACUUUCCAACCGGGCACCUGCGAAUGCUGACCGGUCUCGCCGAGCGUACUCACUACCACACGUGGCAGUUCCUGGGCCUGCCACGUCUCACCGGCAUUGCGCCAUGCACAUCCUGGGAGCAUCAGGCCACACUCCACUCGUGGCAACCCUAUGCCACAACGAGGACUCCACAUUGUCCCUCUCCUAUAUAAGCACCACAUCCCCCUGCCUCCCCCCAGCCACUGAAUCCCACCAAGCCCAAUCCACCCACUGCCCACUUGCUUGCUCGCUCUUUCUUCACCAGCUCGAGCCACAUAGCAAAGGAAAUGGUUGCCAUUGCCAGGAUCAGCUCAUUGUGCAAGGAGCUUGCCAUCGAUCAGGUGAUCGGUGUUGUCCACGAGGGCAAAGAUUCUUAUGAAUAUUAUAACCAAAGAGAGUCGACACACGGAGACGGAGAUGACGACGAUGAUGAUGGAGAUUGUGCUCCAGCUGCAUGAUUGGAAGGCAAUGCCGACCCCAGCGGUGAUUGUCUUCGGCUUUUUUAGCACCACUUUGUUACCUUCUAGAGUUCUAUGGAAGUAUUCAGUUGCUUCCAGUAGACAUUAGCAAGACCACUCUAUUACCAUGAUGUUCGGUCUUCUAGACUUCUAUGGAAGUAUUCAGACGCUUCCGGACAUUAGCAACGAUGUCUGAACUGUCGACCCUAAUCUUAUAGUCUAUAUAUAUUUCAUGUUUCUAUGGUCCUUCUAUUCUACUCUAGUAUGGAAUGUUUCUCAUGUGUCAGGGGUUUCUCCAUGCAUGAUGAGAACUUGUCCUGAUGGAUGCCUGUUUCUCCCCCUCUCAGAAGACAACCUAUCUCGGAACAGUGAGUGAGACUGAGAGAAGAAAAACAGAUGAUGC
rnacentral:lncRNA from 1 species